UUCCUACGGGGCGCAGCAGUGGGGAAUAUUGGGCAAUGGACGCAAGUCUGACCCAGCAACGCCGCGUGAAGGAAGAAGGCUUUCGGGUUGUAAACUUCUUUUAAGGGGGAAGAGUAGAAGACGGUACCCCUUGAAUAAGCCACGGCUAACUACGUGCCAGCAGCCGCGGUAAUACGUAGGGGGCAAGCGUUAUCCGGAUUUACUGGGUGUAAAGGGAGCGUAGACGGCCAGACAAGUCUGAAGUGAAAAUCCAGCGCUUAACGUUGGAAGUGCUUUGGAAACUGCCGGGCUAGAGUGCAGGAGGG
rnacentral:rRNA from 1 species